AUGGUGCCUCCCUCGCCGCCAAGUGGGUGGGAUUUUCAUAAUGAGAUCAAGAAUCAAUGUCGUCUUCUCCAUGGUACUCCGGUUCAUUCCUCCUCUUUUUAUUGUUCUCGUCCUUUCAAAUUGGUGGUGGAUGUCUCUCGUUCCACCUUUCGUCUUGAGGAGUCCUCUGUUGCCCUUGCUCUUCGAGCUUGUUUGGGUGGCUCUCCUGCUGGUUUUCUUGUUAAACAUCUGAAUGAUCGGUGUUACACUUUUUGUGUUUGUAAUAAGUCUGUUGGUUUGUGGAUUUACAACCUUCACUCCUAUAUUUGCCAUGAUUAUCAUAUGAGAUUCUUCUUAUGGCGCGAUGGUGGUCCUAAUUGGGGGUUUGAGUUUCGUCGGUGGGAAUCUGAGCAGCUUAAUGAAUGGAUUGUUGUUAAGAAGAAGAAAUCUAAAUCUUCUGUUGUUGCUUCCUCUUCAGUUCCUAUCUCUAGGGUUUUCAAUCGCCUCCAUGUUCUUGAUCCCCCUUGCCCUUCUCCAGUGGCCGCCGGCGAGAAGGUGUCAGUCAGUGCUCCAGAUCCGAUUUCUCAUAAACCGUUGUUGCGAAGAAACCCUCUCCUCGGGAGAGUUCUCUACCUCCCAUGGCGAAUCUUCACCCUAAUCCACUCUGUUUCAUCCCUCCUGGUCUGCAUUUGCAUCUGGCCAGGCCUUAUCAUCGCGGGCGUGUUGAUACGAGAUGGGGAGUUUCUUGAUCAGGUCAGGAACAUUCGUGUGCUUGCUUCCUAUCCACAUCCAAAUGUUGUUGCUUUAUUCCAGAUUAGAUCACCUGUUCAUCGGGAUGCCUUAGUUCUUGGUCAGCCGAUUGCUUAUGAUGAGGUUCGUUUUGUUAGACAUGAUCAAGGUCCGAACUGGCGUAACGCCCCCUAUAAUCAUCGUGAUUGGAUCAUGUUGCUUGAUUUCCCUCUUGACUAUGUCACUUUCCAUAAUUUUGCCGAUGUUUUUCCUCUUGAUGAUGAUCUGCCACUGGGUGAGGGCCCGGUGGAUCCUAAUUUUGGUAAUGUGCAAAAUGUUAAUCAGGAUCAGAAUCAGGGUUGGGGUAAUUGGGAUGAGGGUCAGGAUAAUGAAAAUGUUGAUUUUUUGCCUAAUGUUCCACAACCUGUAGAUGUGUUGCAGAUUAAUUCAUCUUCUACUAGUAAUUCAACUAACUCUGUCAUCAGUAUCUCCAGUGAUGAAGCUAUUGAGCAUGUGUCUGACAAUAGCCUGAUGGUUCAGAAG
rnacentral:lncRNA from 1 species